GACCCUUCUCUAGAGUCAUGGCCUCCAACAGUAAGCCCUCUCCUGCGGCUGUCCGGUGCUUUGAGACCAACUCGACGUCGUUGCUCAGAGAUCCAAACUGUAAAAGCAAGAUCUCAAAGAUGCAGGGUUAAUGGGUGGAUGCGACUUCCAACUUGACGAUGUCGUCUCCUUAGAUUAAAUUUUUGGGUUUUGCAUAUGGUUCUAGGCUUUUUCCAAAAGGUCAAGGGUUUUCUUCGGUCUAAAUUUUGCAUCUGAUUUUAAAAAGAAAAUUAAUUAAU
rnacentral:lncRNA from 1 species